UACGGAGGGGGCUAGCGUUGUUCGGAAUUACUGGGCGUAAAGCGCACGUAGGCGGCUUUGUAAGUUAGAGGUGAAAGCCCGGGGCUCAACUCCGGAAUUGCCUUUAAGACUGCAUCGCUAGAAUUGUGGAGAGGAUAGUAGAAUUCCAGGUGUAGUGGUGAAAUACGUAGAUAUCUGGAGGAAUACCGGUGGCGAAGGCGGCUAUCUGGCCAAACAUUGACGCUGAGAGACGAAAGCAUGGGGAGCAAACAGG
rnacentral:rRNA from 1 species